GACGAACGCUGGCGGCGUGCUUAACACAUGCCAGUCGAACGGAAAGGCCCUGCUUUUGUGGGGUUCCCGAUUGGCGAACGGGUGAGUAACACGUGAGUAACCUGCCCUUGUCUUUGGGAUAACUUCAGGAAACUGGGGCUAAUAUCGUAUAGCAUCUCCUGCUGCAUGGUGGGGGUUGGAACGUUUCGGCGGUAGGGGAUGGACUCGCGGCUUACCAGCUUGUUGGUGGGGUAGUGGCUUACCAAGGCUUUGACGGAUAGCCGGCCUGGGAGGGUGGACGGCGACAAUGGGACUGAGGUACGGCGCAGACGCCUACGGGGGGCAACGGGGGGAAGUAUGACACAGUGAGAGGGAGCGUGAUGCGGAGACGCCGGGUGCGGAAUGACGGCCUUCGGGUUGUAAACCGCUUUCGCCUGUGACGAAGCGUGAGUGACGGUAAUGGGUAAAGAAGCACCGGCUAACUACGUG
rnacentral:rRNA from 1 species